rnacentral:rRNA from 1 species
UACGGGGGGGGCAAGCGUUGUUCGGAAUUACUGGGCGUAAAGGGCUCGUAGGUGGCCAACUAAGUCAGACGUGAAAUCCCUCAGCUUAACUGGGGAACUGCGUCUGAUACUGGAUGGCUUGAGUUUGGGAGAGGGAUGCGGAAUUCCAGGUGUAGCGGUGAAAUGCGUAGAUAUCUGGAGGAACACCGGUGGCGAAGGCGGCAUCCUGGACCAAUACUGACACUGAGGAGCGAAAGCCAGGGGAGCAAAUGGG